rnacentral:rRNA from 1 species
AUACGUAGGAGGCAAGCUUUGUCCGGAAUUAUUGGGCGUAAAGCGCGCGCAGGUGGUUCCUUAAGUCUGAUGUGAAAGCCCCCGGCUCAACCGGGGAGGGUCAUUGGAAACUGGGGAACUUGAGUGCAGAAGAGGAUAGUGGAAUUCCAAGUGUAGCGGUGAAAUGCGUAGAGAUUUGGAGGAACACCAGUGGCGAAGGCGACUGUCUGGUCUGUAACUGACACUGAGGCGCGAAAGCGUGGGAGCAAACAGGAUUAGAUACCCUGGUAGUCCACGCCGUAAACGAUGAGUGCUAAGUGUUGGGGGGUUUCCGCCCCUCAGUGCUGCAGCUAACGCAUUAAGCACUCCGCCUGGGGAGUACGGUCGCAAGACUGAAACUCAAAGGAAUUGACGGGG